UACGUAGGUGGCAAGCGUUGUCCGGAUUUACUGGGCGUAAAGAGCGCGCAGGCGGUCGUUCAAGUCGCGUGUGAAAGCCCCCGGCUCAACUGGGGAGGGUCACGCGAUACUGAUCGACUCGAAGGCAGGAGAGGGAAGUGGAAUUCCCGGUGUAGUGGUGAAAUGCGUAGAUAUCGGGGAGGAACACCAGUGGCGAAGGCGACUUCCCUGGCCUGUUCUUGACGCUGAGGCGCGAAAGCUAGGGGAGCAAACGGG
rnacentral:rRNA from 1 species